GAACGCUUGGGGGUUGGGAAGGUCCUGGAAGAUAGAGGAAGAGCCUCGUGGAGACAGUGGGGGGGUUGGGCAGGUCCUGGAAGGGGCCCGGUGGGGUUGGAAAUGGAUGGGAAGGUCCUGGAAGGGACAUGAUAGGGUUGGGAAGGUCCUGGAAGGGAGAGGAAGGUUGUGGAGGAGGCAUUGUGGAGGUCCUGGAAGAGAGGGGAAGGUCCUGGAAGGGAUUCAAAGGUCCUGGAAGGGAUGAGGAAGUCCUGGAAGGGUUGGGAAGGUCCUGGAAGGGUUAGGUCCUGGAAGGGAUGGGAAGGUCCUGGAAGGGAUGAGGAAGUCCUGGAAGGGUUGGAAGGUCCUGGAAGGGAUGGGAAGGUCCUGGAAGGGAAGGGAAGGUCCUGGAAGGGUUGUGAAGGCCCCGGAAGGGCCGUAAAAUCCCCGGAGUCCCCACGCAAAUUCCCGAGGCGACGCCGGGGCGCGUCCCCGCCCCCGGGGGGGGCGUUCCCCGACGCGUCCCCGCCCCCGCUCCCCCCCCGCAGGCGGAGAAGAACCGGCUGGCGGCCAUGGCCAACAACCUGCAGAAGGGCAGCGGCGGCCCCAUGCGGCUCUACGUGGGCGCCCUGCACUGCAACAUCACCAAGGAGAUGCUGCGCGGCAUCUUCGAGCCCUUCGGCAAGGUGGGCGGGGCCUCAAGGAGGGGGCGGGGCCUAAAGGGGGUGGGCGUGGCUUAAGGGGGCGGGGCUUAAAGGGGGUGGGCGUGGCCUCGUCUGGACACGCCCCCUU
rnacentral:lncRNA from 1 species